UUGUAUGGCCGUAACACCCUGAAUGUGCCCAAUCUCCUCUGAUCUUAGAGCUAAGCAAGGUUGGCCGUGGUUAGUACUUGGAUGGGAGUCCCCUGGCAUAUUUUCUAAAAGCCCUGUAUG
ensembl:rRNA 5S_rRNA 5S ribosomal RNA